rnacentral:rRNA from 1 species
UACGUAGGGCGCAAGCGUUGUCCGGAAUUAUUGGGCGUAAAGAGCUCGUAGGCGGUUUGUCGCGUCUGCUGUGAAAACCUAAGGCUCAACCUUGGGCUUGCAGUGGGUACGGGCAGACUAGAGUGCGGUAGGGGUGACUGGAAUUCCUGGUGUAGCGGUGGAAUGCGCAGAUAUCAGGGGGAACACCGAUGGGCGAAGGCAGGUCACUGG